rnacentral:rRNA from 1 species
UCGAGAAUUUUUCUCAAUGGGGGAAACCCUGAAGGAGCGACGCCGCGUGGAGGAUGAAGGUCUUCGGAUUGUAAACUCCUGUCAUUUGGGAACAAUGUGCAGUCGUUAACUGCGAUUGCAUUGAUAGUACCAGAAGAGGAAGAGACGGCUAACUCUGUGCCAGCAGCCGCGGUAAUACAGAGGUCUCAAGCGUUGUUCGGAUUCAUUGGGCGUAAAGGGUGCGUAGGUGGCGCCAUAAGUCAGGUGUGAAAUCUCGGGGCUCAACCCCGAAACUGCACUUGAUACUGUGGUGCUCGAGUACUGGAGAGGAGAUUGGAAUUUACGGUGUAGCAGUGAAAUGCGUAGAUAUCGUAAGGAAGACCAGUGGCGAAGGCGAAUCUCUGGACAGUUACUGACACUG